rnacentral:rRNA from 1 species
GAUGAACGCUGGCGGCGUGCCUAAUACAUGCAAGUCGAACGGGGAGUAGCAAUACUCUUAGUGGCGAACGGGUGAGUAACGCGUUGGUACCUGCCCCGAAGCGGGGGAUAACGGACCGAAAGGUCCGCUAAUACCCCAUGUGCUCGGUAACGAGUAAAGGUGAAAACCACUUUGGGAGGGGCCUGCGUCCCAUCAGCUAGUUGGUAAGGUAACGGCUUACCAAGGCGAUGACGGGUAGGGGACCUGAGAGGGUGGCCCCCCACAAUGGAACUGAAACACGGUCCAUACACUUACGGGUGGCAGCAGUAGGGAAUAUUGGCAAGGGGCGCAAGCCUGAAACAGCAACGCCGCGUGUGCGAUGACGGCCUUCGGGUUGUAAAGCACUUUUGACUGGGACGAGGAAGGACGGUACCGGUCGAAUCAGCCUCGGCUAACUACGUG